AUUGAACGCUGGCGGCAGGCUUAACACAUGCAAGUCGAGCGGGGUGAAGUGCUUCGGUACUGAUCCUAGCGGCGGACGGGUGAGUAAUGCUUAGGAAUCUGCCAUUUAGUGGGGGACAACAUUCCGAAAGGGAUGCUAAUACCGCAUACGUCCUACGGGAGAAAGCAGGGGAUCUUCGGACCUUGCGCUAAAUGAUGAGCCUAAGUCGGAUUAGCUAGUUGGUGGGGUAAAGGCCUACCGAGGCGACGAUCUGUAGCGGGUCUGAGAGGAUGAUCCGCCACACUGGGACUGAGACACGGCCCAGACUCCUACGGGAGGUAGCAGUGGGGAAUAUUGGACAAUGGGCGGAAGCCUGAUCCAGCCAUGCCGCGUGUGUGAAGAAGGCCUUUUGGUUGUAAAGCACUUUAAGCGAGGAGGAGGCUACCUAGAUUAAUACUCUGGGAUAGUGGACGUUACUCGCAGAAUAAGCACCGGCUAACUCUGUGCCAGCCGCCGCGGUAA
rnacentral:rRNA from 1 species